UUUGAAAAGUUUGCCAGGCAGUCAUAGCUGGCCAAUUUGUAGCUGGAAAUGAAUGGUGAAACAGAAUGUGGUCCCCAUUCAAAGGACAAGAUCGAUCCAUUAGAAAGCUUGGAUCGUUCAAUUUGUGUGGCUUUUCUACCAUGGGCCAUUCGAUGUCGGGCCCAACUCAUCAAUGGUCAGGAGUCACUAGCCAUAUUAAUGUCUAGAGUGGUGACUUCCAAUAAUCUAGGACCAGACAUGCUUUAUUAUCUUUUCUUUUUGUUAAAGCGACUGAACAUGUUUUUGACAAUCAACAUGCAUGUUCCAAAUCAUUUCAACAUUUGUGGAGCUUAACAGCAUGAGACGCUAAUUUUUGUCAUGUUGAUGCAUGAAUUCAAUCGCUUAGAUGGGAUCCACAGAUGAGGCCAUGGAGGGAUCCACAGACAUGGAAAUCGAUGUCUCGGAGAGGCGCUUGUCAUAUACUGUGUCGUAUGAUGAUGGUUGGGGUGAAGAUGAAACAAUUGUAUAUGAUGCGUCCUUCUAAGAUAUGGAAGAUCACUAUGUUAAGUACCAAACAGCUCAAUGAGUUCUUUAUUCUUUACUUUUGAUUCCGGCAUGGGACAUUGGAUUUUUCAUGUUGCUUUGUCUGCCUGUGAGAAGAUACAUCUCGCGGAAAUAGUUCCAGUCUAGAAAGCUCUAUGUCACUCCUAAUGCCAUAGUUUACAAGUUGCAUCAUGAAUGUGUUUUUCUGGUGCAGUAUGUAAGACCUGUACCUUUCCCUUGUUUUGGGGUUCUGAAGAAAGAAAGCCAUGUUCUAUAACCAUCAGUGACAGAUAUUAUUGUUGAACAAGGAUAUUUUCAGUCCCUUUUCGUCAUCAAUUCUGUCAGAAUCGAGAAUGCAGGCGUUCGAAGGCCGGCAAGCGAUGACAUUCAAAUCCAAGGAGUUUCUCAUCUGAGUGAUUUUAGGAAGGCUGUCCUGGCUCAUAUUUCAAACUUGAGGAAUGAGGGCUUUGCUCAGCAAGUUUCCACCAGUGAAGAUCAGUCAAAUUAUGGAGCUGCUUACUGAUCGUCACACGCAGCGUGGGGGCAUCACAGUGUUGGAACAGUCUUGACAUCCCAGCUGAUGUCUCCGUCCAGAUAUUUCGGGCAGGAUUCUAUCAAUCCUCCAGAACUAUUAUUGCAGAAAUUGGAGGUGGUUGGAAGAUCGGUGAAGAGGGUCGAGAGUUUAAUUGAGUGCCACUCUCACGCAUCAGAAGCUAUAGUUUGAAGCUAGCAAACUAAAAUCGAUCCAGGUUUGAAUCAAUGUGGUUUUUUUCCCAUUGGUGUUUUUUAGCAUGCAAUGUAAUCUUAUUCUUUUAAUCCUGUACCAGGGCUGCAUCUUGGGUUUGGAUCAACCCGAACUAGACUGGCCCAACCUGAAUCGUUC